UAGCUAAGCGGUAAAGCGCUUGGCUUCCGAACCGGGGGCCCCGGGUUCGAAUCCUGG
rfam:Biomphalaria glabrata isolate BB02 unplaced genomic scaffold LGTN_random_Scaffold1513, whole genome shotgun sequence.